rnacentral:lncRNA from 1 species
GACUCUCUUUCCUAGUGCUCCAAGGAACGUAACGACUGCUGGAUGUGUGCCCACGUGGGGGGCAGACGGUGUGGACCCAUUUAACCAACCAGUCACACCUGGUUAUCACAACACACAGUCUCUGGGGGAAAAGCCAUCAAAGUGUAGUCACAGCCCGCGAGUGUAUUCAAACAGAGGCACGUUCCAAAAAUACUAUGUUAUGUUCAAUGAUGCAUUUCUUACACUUCAAACAAGACUGGAGACACUAUCAUCUCGGACUAAAAAACAUUUACCACUGAAAUAGGGACUUGCACUCUUACCCAUCUUGAAGCUGUUUUAUCCAAGAAUAAAAAAAGGAGUUAAAAAAAGGCUUUUUCGUCCCCUGUAAAGUUCCCCAUAUAGUUUCCUGUAUCAAAUAACUUGAAAAAAAUGCUUUAGAAAUCACUUCAAACAAGUACUCAUGAUCUUGUUAACUGAAGUUGACAGGAAAUGGUUUCCAGUUUUAGGUUUUUUGGCUCCACUGGAUUAACAUUUGCAUUACCAGCACGAUAAAAUCCCUGGCUAAGGAAGACACUGGUAGCCUGGAAGUGUCUUGGAUUAGACUGCCAUUUCAUAAAGUGCUUGUAUUCAAAACCAUAGAGCUGAUGAAGAGUGUUCUUUCUGUGAUGGAGAAUGAGGGAUUCCCCAGGACAGAACUCCAGGUUCAUCUCUCCCAGUCGUUGCUGGGUUUUGGCACAGCCAUCUGAUUAGCCUCCAAGACGUUGACCUUCUCCCCAUGCAAAUCCUCCUGGCCGUUCUUCUGGCAAGGGAUUGUAAUUAGGAUCAUCUUCCGGUGUAUCAAAUAUUGCUUUCAGGACAGAUGGUGUUCUCAGAAGCCUUCCACCACCAGGCUGAUUGGGAAAGACGUCCUCUAAGAAAAAAUAUAUAUGCCCGACUGCAAUGCCUAGGAGAUCCACAAUGAUGGAGUUCCCCAAAAGCAGUGAAAAGCCCAUCAGAACCCAAGGCAGAAACGGAGCUUGGAAGAUGAGAAGACCAAAGAAGUUCAUACGGACAUAGGGAUUCCUGCGGCUCC